rnacentral:rRNA from 1 species
CAGUCGCCGCGGGAAUACGAGGGGGGCAAGCGUUGUUCGGAAUUAUUGGGCGUAAAGGGUGCGUAGGCGGUUUGACAAGUCUUAUGUGAAAUCUUCGGGCUCAACCCGAAGUCUGCAUGGGAAACUGUCGGGCUUGAGUAUUGGAGAGGUGAGUGGAAUUUCCGGUGUAGCGGUGAAAUGCGUAGACAUCGGAAGGAACACCUGUGGCGAAAGCGGCUCACUGGACAAUAACUGACGCUGAUGCACGAAAGCUAGGGGAGCAAACAGGAUUAGAUACCCGAGUAGUCCCUGUCUCUUAUAC